rnacentral:lncRNA from 1 species
UUAAGAGUGUGUACCAGCCACAAGAAUGUGACAGUGUUUUCUCACCAAAACAGAAUCUUGUGGAAGGAUGUCACAAGAGAAUGAUGUUGUAUGCAUUGCACAUUAAGUUUAUGUUUGGACUAUAUAAUGGUAAAUAGCAGCUACUAGUUCAUGUUAAAAGCUCUUAAACAGGGUCUGGCUUGACCCAUUUGUAGCCCAAUUAUGUUUAAGUAUUCGGAUCUGUGUCAUUGUCAAUAAUUUGCCAACUACAUUUGGG